AAACUAUAUAUGUAUCGUAAUCCACAGAGACAUCUAUAUUAGCUUACCAUAUGAUUGUUGAUUUCAUUGUAAUUUUACUUUGUCGAUUUCAAAGACCGGUGUCGGUGAUUUUGGUUCCAUGUUAUAUUCGGCUCGCCUCGACAGUGAAUGGAAUUCGCGAAGUGGGCAAAAUCAGAUGGGUGCGAUUUGAUGUAUGGCAAAAUAAAUUUCGGCGAUGCUAUAUGCGUCAAGAAAUCGUGAAAAAAGAAUUAUUGAUAUAGCCUUCCCGUAAGGUAGACCGUAACAUAUGGAACCACCCCCUCCACCCUACAGUGAGGCCAUAUGUUAUCCAAAGUCUAGGGGACGGGAUCCCAUUGUAUCACCAGAUUUUUCCAAUCAACACGAAAGCCAAUCUUCUGACACAACAGACACUGCCUUUCUAAAUGACGUUGACAUCAACAUCCCACAACUGCCAAGCUAUGAAUCAUCUGAACGUACUAAUAUAGCGGCCACAAAUGAUGAGAGGUCAGAGGAUCGUGAAUCCUCUCCACCAAGUUAUAAUGUGGUUGCACAAGUAUUAGCAGGAUAUUCUGUAUCAGGAUAUUCAAGAGCAAACAAUGAUGCAAAUAACAUGCAACAUGAACCAUCUCAAGGAAAUCCUGUAGAUUUUAACAAUGUAACACAAUUUGUUCCUCCCAGUCCUAUUAAUUAUGGCAAUGGUGGAGGAUAUCAACACGGUUUGAAUUCUUCAAUUUCACCUCAAGCAAGUGCUGCAUAUGAUCCUAGUGAACACUCAGUUAUGAUUCACAAUGCACAGGCUUAUAAUACCACUCCCUUGGCAUAUGGAAAUGAAGUAUCUCGAUCGAGUGCAGGAGCUGCCACCAAGGUUAUUGGUAUGAUGCUGUGUCUAUUGUCUUCACUUCUCUUUGUCACAUUUUUCUCUCUUAUUUUCUGAAUACAAUAUGGCAGCUGUUAAUUAUAUUGUUCUAUGAUCAUCGUUUUUCUACAGAUGAAGAUAUUGGAAAUGGUUAAAGACCCUGCAUGUCAUUUCUCAUUUCUUGGAAAUUAUCAAAUUUUCCACUACUAAAAUGUACUCAGAUUUAUUAUUUGAUAUUUAUUUAAGAAAACAAAAUUAAAAUAUCAACUGCUGAUGACCUCCAGGAUUCGACUCAGUCGAAUUAAGAAUAGGCCUAUUAAAAUAUUCAGCGAAACUUAUAGGUGGUGCUGGGAGCAUGAUUCAACUAUAUCGUCUACGGUGGAUGCCAAAUUUUCAUUUCAUCAUGUCUUUGUAAAUUCUCAACAGAACUAGUCAAUUUUUGGAUUUAUAAUCUGUAUAAAGAUUCAACUUUCACAAUAUUGUAGUUUGCAAGGGAUUAAAAAUCCCUCAAAGGAUGCUCAGAGACUUUAAGCAGUUUUCUUUUGAACAGUUGUGUCCCUUUACUUACUGACUGGUAUUUGAUAAUUGUGAUAUAAUACUGCAUGAUAUUUUAUGUAUUUAUUAUGACUGCCUCUGUUAUAUUUAUGUUUUGUUUUUAUGUAUAUAUAGAUAGCGUAAUUCAUCGAUGUAGUGCAAUACAUGUAUCAUAUUAACCCACCUUUGAACAUGACUUGAACCAUUUUGUUUUCAAGAUUACCUUUUACCUUUUGAAGAAAGAGGAGGACUAUUAAAAUGGGUCUGUCCGUCCGUCACACUUUUUGAGACACAAUGACUCUCCUUUUAAUUGAGGUAGAAUGUUCAAACUUGCUGUAGGUGUUUAUUAGGUGAAUGCCUUAAUGGAGUGCGAAGGUGGGCAUUUUUUUUGCUUAGGCUGAGCUGAGAUAAGCAGUUUGAUUGAUUGAUGCUUUGGGACACUAUAGUUUAAAUUAAGUGAGAGUGUUGAAACUUGGUGCAUAGUUUUAUUAUAUCAAUACCUUGACUAACUUCGAUAAUGAACAUUUUCUGCUCAAGGUAAGUAGAGCGAUAAGCGAUUUGAUUGGUUGAGACUUUAGAACUAUACUCUAUGAUGGAGUUCGAAGGUGUGGACUUUUUGCUUAGGCUAAGCAGAGAUAAGCAAUUUGAUUGUUUGAAACUUUGGAACACAAUAACUUUGGUUUAAAUUGGGUGAGGGUGAUGAAACUCAAGAGUAUAGAUUCAUUAUAUCAAUACCUUGACUAAGUUCGAUGAUGAGUAUUUUUUGCUUAGGUUAAGUAGUUAGUUAUAAGCAAUUUGAUUGGUCAAGACUUUUGAACGUAACAGCUCUGCUUUUAAUUGUGGUAGAAUUUUAAAACUUGGUGUAGAUGUUCAUUAGGUGUAUGUCUGGACUGAUUUCAGUGAUUAACAUUUUCUUGCUAAAACUAAACAGAGCUAAGCAAUUUCAUUGUUUAAUGCUUUGGGACAAGAUAACUUUGAUUCUAACUUAUGGAGAGUGAUGAAACUUAGUGUACAGUUUCACUAGCAGGUACUUCACAACCUUGACUGAGUUCGAUCGUGAACACUUUCUGCUUAGUCUAAGAUUAGAUAAUCAGUUCAUUUGCUAGAUACUUUUCCCAAAAAAUAAAUGUGCAGUUAAUUAGUAUGUGUGAUCUAUUUAUUUUGGGAUAUCGUCGGGGUACAUCAGCCCUACUGUUGGCUUGUUUAUUUUGUGAUAUAUCAAUGCAUGAUAUUUUAUGCAUUUAUUAUGACUGCCUCUGUUAUUUUUAGGUUUUGUUUUUAAGUAUAUAUAGAUAGCGUUAUUCAUUGAUGUACAUGUAGUGCAAUAUCAUUUAACUCUCCUUUGAACGUGACAUGAAUGUAAAGGUCCUGAACUGUAAAUGUUAAAAACCUUUAGCCCGUCAAUUUUUGACGUAUCUCGAACUAACAGGAUAUUUUUCCUGUAUAGGAUGAUCCCCAUUUUUUAAAAAUAUUUUUUUUAAGUGUUUUGUUUUUAACUUGAAAUAUAAAUUUAAAUUUAGUUAUGUAUUUAGGUUAAGUUCUUUGAAAUUCUGAUUUCAUAGCAUAUAAAUUGAAUGAAAGAUAAGUUCUCCACGUGGUCAUUUUGACUACCAGUCAGUCAAGACCAGUAAAUAUGAGCCCUGUUGGAAACCACUACCUCACACUGAAAUUAUUCAUUCAAUUAAAGCUGAAUAAAUGAAUGAAAUCAGUUUAAUGUUUUAGUUUUCUGCACAUACUAGGAUAAUAAAAGUGUUGUUUACAUGUACGCCAAUGUCUACAUGGGACUUUGUUUUUUUGCCCCAUCUGAAUGACUAGAUGCUGUUCCUUGCCAGAUUUUCCAUCCUGCAUCACUGACAAAGGGAAACCACAACGGCAAAUCCUGACGAAUUUCUCGGCCAACACCGGGAUCAAACCUUUGCUUCCUGGUUAUUAAACCAGCACCUUACUGAGCCACCAUUGGUGCCUUGCUUAAAGCUAAUCAACUGUUAAAUUAUGAAAGUCGGAAAAGGACAUAUAUGCACAACCAUUUACAGUUAACUAUCUUGUGUACAGACAUUAUCCCUUGCUAACACAUUAACUUUGGGUACAAUUUUAUUAUAAGAAUCCUAUAACCUAAAUUAGAAAAUGCCAUAGACUUUUUUAUUAAUCAUUUGAUUUAAUUCCUUGACUAUAUCCGUAAGCAUAUGUUAUGUUCCGAUUUUUUUUUAAAAUGACAACCUAAGCUGACACCUAAGAGACAUUGGGAAUACAAUAAGGUGUCAGUGUGAUUGUUUUUGAAAAAGGAUUGGAAAGAUUUAGAUUUGAACAUGGAAAGAUAAGUGAUUACAAUUUUAGAAUCUCAUUUCUUUACCUAACUAUUUGUAUUGUACAAAUAAACAGUAUUAAAGCAUGUACAUGUAUGUAUAUAAUUUUAUAUAAGUUAUUUUUGACAUAUGGGAGAAAUUACUUAGUUCUGUUAUGACAAAAGUAGGACCAGAACAGAAAUUGUUAUAUGAAUGUCAAAAAUGGAUUAUAUUAUGUGUUCCAGAGAGAUUAGGCAUACCUUCAGGGGCAGAUCCAGAGGGGGGUUUGCGGGGUCCAAGUCCCUCCCUGCUCAGCUGCAUGAAAAAAAUUGUAAAACAACACUUUUAUGAGAAAAGUGCCACGGUCGUGUGGUUUAUCCUUUAUCAUCAGAUGGUGGGACGGGAUGGGCAUUCAAAGCGUGAGAUAAUGAUAUAAAUAUGUGAUAUCACAAUUAAUGCUUUGCAUCAAUGAAAUUGAAUCACAAUGUGAUCCUAUUAAUUCAUAAUAAAAAUUGACGUCAAAUGCGGUGUUGGAUUUCUCUCUUUGCCUACAUAAUUUGGAGGCGAUGAUGGCAUAAUGCAUUGUCAACUGUCAAAUUUCCUUAACAGGAAUCUGGCAAACCCCCUCCUUAAAAAAUUCCUGGAUCCGUCCCUGAUACUUUGCUUUGUACCUCUGUUACAUGGAGCAUUUGGUCUAUCAUUUCUGAAAGGUGUAGUACAGGUUUCAAGAACAAACUUCCUAAUUUCUUCCAUUACCAGUUGUAUCAUUGUUUAGACAGUAAUUGUUACAGUUUUAGGACAAAAUAAAUAUAUUUAUGCUUUAAACAUGGACAAGUCUGAAAGUCAUUAUUUAAGAGCUAAAUCUGCCUAUUGCAGGUCUUUCUUUGGGCCUUAAAUGUUAUAUAAACUAUUAAUUAGACGUUAAUUAUCAUGACAGCCAAUAAUCAACUCUUGGCGCCAUCGGAUGGCCUGAUUUUAAGUAGAUUAGAAAAGUUCAGUCAUUUAAUGAUUUAAUUUAAAAAUGGAGAAGCGAGGCUAAGACUCUAAUGACCAGUAUACUGAUUAUGAUCAAUGCACAAAUCUUGUCAAAACUACAACCAUUGAAAACGUCACUCAAAAUAAAGUAAUUUGACUGAAACCUUCAAUAUAUUCAUUUUACAUUAUCUUUAUCUAAAUCUUAAUUAAUGGUUAUAUCAUAUGAACUACAAGGGUUACCUUGUAUUCGUUAGGUGUCUUUUUAUACGCCCACAUUUAAAUGUGGUCGUAUAUUGUCAUCUGUCCGUCCGUCGGUCCUAGAGGCUAAAGUUAUUAUUCGAUUGACUUUAAAUUUAUACACAGUGUUUAAGGUCUUGAGACGAAAAAGCCUAUUGAUUUUCAGCGAUUUCCGAUAAUUACUGCCAGAGUUAUGGCCCUUGAUCACUUUGAAAAAUCUUGUGGACGCUCUAGAGACCAAAGUUAAUAUCCGAUUGACUUUAAAUUUAUACACAGUGUUUAAGGCCAUGAGACGAAGAAGCCUAUUGAUUUUCAGCCAUUUCCGAUAAUUACUGCCAGAGUUAUGGCUCUUUAUCACUUCAAAAAAUCUUGUGGACACUCUACUGGCCAAAGUUAAUAUCUGAUUGGCUUUAAAUUCAUACACAGUGUUCAAGGUCAUGAGACGAAAAAGCCUAUUGAUUUUCAGCAAUUUCCGAUAAUUACUGACAGAGUUAUGGCCCUUGAUCACUUUGAAAAAUCUUGUGGACGCUCUAAAGGCCAAAGUUAAUAUCCGAUUAACUUUAAAUUUAUACACAGUGUUUAAGGUCAUGAGACGAAGAAGCCUAUUGAUUUUCAGCGAUUUCCGAUAAUUACUGCCAGAGUUAUGGCCCUUGAUCACUUUGAAAAAUCUUGUGGACGCUCCAGAGGCCAAAGUUAAUAUCCGAUUGACUUUAAAUUUAUAAUCAGAUUUUAAUGUAUUAUAAAUGUUUCAUUACCGAAAAUUAAAAAUAUGCGACAACUCUUGUUAACUGCCCGGACAAUUUAGCUGCUGUGGGCGUAUGUUUCGUUGCCUGGCAACCUAUCUUUCUACAACUGAUGAAUUUUGUCUCAAAUUAAAAAAGAAAUUCUCUGAUAUACCAACAUUUAAUGUAGAUGUAUAUUGUUAUCUUUGUCCGCCAUCCAUUGGUAUACCACUCAUUUUCCUGUCAACACUAUGCAGGUCAGAGAUACUUUAUUUGGUCAUAAGAUCGCAUCGUAUCAAUAAUCAAAUUUUUUGAUAGAAUUUUGUAAAACUCUAUGGGAUUGUCUGUUAUGGUAUGAGAAAGAACUCUAUUUAAUUACAAUUGUAUAUUUUGUAUGUGUUUUGCAGAGUUAUUUUUUCAAUCGCAUAUUUACUUUUUAAGCCUGUGAACAUGAUAAAAAGCUUAGUGAGAUGGUUGAUUUGGAGGAAUUGUGUCAUAAUUCUGAAUUUUGGAGUGGCAAAUCGCAGAGUUAUCUAGCCAUUUUCGUUCAAAUUUAUGAAAUGUUGUGAACACAAUACACGACAAGUUCCCAACAUAACUUUUUAAGACUAAGUCAGAUUGUUCAUUGUGAUUUAAGGAAAUAUUCAUUAAAUUUCCUAAUUUACGGAUUCUCAAAUUUCUUGUCACAUGACCUUCAAAGCUUAUUAACGCAAUAUUUGAACAACUUUAUUGAUGUAAUGGUCAAAAACUUUAUGAGAUUGUUCAUAAGACUGAAUGCUUUCAAAUUUCAAAAUUUGUGGGCCUUAAAAAUUAACAGAGCUACUGUAAAAUAAUUUUAGAGCUAGCACUUUGCUGUGUAUUAGGUGCCCUGACAUGCACCUGUCCAUGUUUUAAUCGUACAUUUUUUGUUAUUAUAUAUAAUAAACAAUACUCAAGGAAAAAAUGUUAUCAACAGUGUCUUUAGUCAAUGUUAUAUGAUCCAUAAAACUUUGGAAAAUAAAGCUUUUAAAGUAUAAA